GGGCUCGUAGCGCAGCAGGUAGCGCGCCGGUUCGGCAUACCGGAGGCCGGCGGUUCAAACCCGCCCGGGUCCACCU
rnacentral:tRNA from 1 species